rnacentral:rRNA from 1 species
UACGUAGGGGGCAAGCGUUGUCCGGAUUUAUUGGGCGUAAAGAGCGCGUAGGCGGCUCGGUAAGCCGGAUGUGAAACCUCCAAGCUCAACUUGGAGCGGCCAUUCGGAACUGCUGUGGCUAGAGUCUGGUAGGGGAACACGGAAUUCCUGGUGUAGCGGUGAAAUGCUUAGAUAUCAGGAGGAACACCAGUGGCGAAGGCGGUGUUCUGGGCCAGUACUGACGCUGAGGCGCGAAAGCGUGGGGAGCGAACAGG